AUUGAACGCUGGCGGCAUGCCUAACACAUGCAAGUCGAGCGAGCGGCGGACGGGUGAGUAACGUAUGGGGACUGCCCGAUAGAGGGGGAUAACUACUGGAAACGGUGGCUAAUACCCCAUACUAUCGGAUAACCCAUAUGGGAUUAGCUAGUAGGUGGGGUAAAGGCUAACCUGGGCGGCGAUAUCUAGCUGGUCUGAGAGGAUGAACAGCGACACUGGAACUGAGACACGGCCCAGCAUCUGACGGGGACAGCGGUGGGGAACAUUGGAAAAUGGGCGCAAGCCGGAUGCAGACAUGCGGCGUGUAUGAAGAAGGCCUUAGGGUUGUAAAGUACUUUCAGCGGGAAGACGUUACCCGAAGAGGAAGCACCGGCUAACUCCGUGCCAGCAGCCGCGGUAAUUC
rnacentral:rRNA from 1 species